GCCGGGCAUGGUGGUUCAAGCCUGUAAUCCUAGCACUUUGGGAGGCCGAGACGGGCGGAUCACGAGGUCAGGAGAUCGAGACCAUCCUGGCUAACACGGUGAAACCCCAUCUCUUGACUUUUUAGUAGAGACGGGGUUUCACCGUGUUAGCCAGGAUGGCCUCGAUCUCCUGACCUCGUGAUCCGCCCGUCUCGG
rnacentral:SRP_RNA from 1 species